AUCACGGAGAGUUUGAUCCUGGCUCAGAACGAACGCUGGCGGCGCGUCUUAAGCAUGCAAGUCGAGCGGGAUCAGGGGGCUUGCCCCCUGUGAGAGCGGCGGACUG
rnacentral:rRNA from 1 species